rnacentral:rRNA from 1 species
UACGUAGGGUGCGAGCGUUAAUCGGAAUUACUGGGCGUAAAGCGUGCGCAGGCGGUUCGUUGUGUCGGUGGUGAAAUCCCCGGGCUUAACCUGGGAAUGGCCAUGGAAACUGGCGAACUGGAGUGCGGCAGAGGGGGGUGGAAUUCCACGUGUAGCAGUGAAAUGCGUAGAGAUGUGGAGGAAUACCGAUGGCGAAGGCAGCCCCCUGGGUCAAUACUGACGCUCAUGCACGAAAGCGUGGGGAGCAAACAGG